GGUCGCACCUGUAGCGCCAGCUGGCGAGUGGUCGCCGGCAGCCCCGUCGGGAACUCGGUGAGAUCCACUCCGCCGCAGUCCACCGCCCCCUCGGUCGUGCAGCUGCAGCCCGCCGGGCAUUCGCCGGGGUCCGACUUGGCCACGGCGAUGUCGGGAGCCCUGACGGGCUCCUCCUCCCGCGCCCCCGCUGGGAUCUGGCCCAGAACCACAAGUCCGGCCAGGAACAGCAGAACGCUAGGGGUCCGCGGGAUGGAAUGCUUGGGAAAGGCCAUGCUCGCAUCCCAGGGCUCCUGUUGCACAAGAACCAGAAUGUCUUGGAUCGUAACAUACUUUCCUGUAAACAGAAUUCUUUUUCUUUCUUUUUUUGGCCAUAAAAGUUCAACAAGGCUCCAGUGGCCUCGUGCUGGGGUGAAUCAUCCGCGCGGUACGCUGACAUCCACAUCCGAAUCGUCAACUCGCUGACUGCGCGGGGAUUUCCCGGCGUGCACCGAGACUAAAAACGCACCACUCCGGAAUCAUCUUUGUUGGCCAAAUGUUGCGGUCUACUUGCAUGGGGACCAGUGGCAAAAACAACGUUGUCAUUUGUCACGUGCACUCCAUUGAGGGACUCUCGUUAACGUGGCGGGAGUGGAGCGUUUGCUGCUCACGUGACUUGUGUGACAAAAUGGAUGCCACAAAAUUCUGCGGUACAGCUCAAGAUCCACCACAUGGAAAAAAGUCAAAGUGAACCCCGAUCUGCAGAUGAAAAACACGCAUCGAGUCUACCGAUCGAGGCGUAGCGGCCGCCCACAACGCUCUCGUCAAGUCUGACGGCAGCGGGCGCCAUCACGGGCCGAACCGAACCGCUGGCCGCAGGCGUUCCCGUGACAGAUUAAGCCGGAAAACGUGGGACAAGCGCUCACAGGGAGUGCGGUGGAGAUGGACGCCUGUCAAUCAAACCACUGCAACUCUUCUUCCUUUGCAUCACGACCAUCUUCAAGUGGUUUUUGCUCAUCUGGUUUAUUUGAUAAUGUUUCUUUUUUAUUAUACUGGAUGCCUUUGAAAUGUUUUGCAUUACAGCUGUAAGCGGUACAUUUUGUCCUCAUUGCCACAUGUGCACGUCGACCGUACGAAUAGACAUGACUAACGCACUGUAGACGCUCUUUCAGAAUCCAAGCUAAUGUUUGUCGAUACAUUGGAUUUGCCUAUUCGGCAGCAUGCGGCAUUCACUCGGACGCCUGAACUAGUUAGGAAGAUAAUGGCACACUUUCGAACGUGAUCGAAUGCCAUGUGACAGACGUAUACAUACCGUCUGUGGGUUCAUCUUUCCUGUCAUCAAGGCCAGCAGGUCCGAGUCGGACAUGGCGAUGGUGCAGUCUGCUUUCUUGGCUGACACACACAAAAAAACUUUCAUCAAACCUUUUUUUUUUUUUUUCUUC